rnacentral:lncRNA from 1 species
AAUGUUUUUAUUAUUUUUUUACAUCUAAAACACCUUGUUCAGUAAGUAUUUAGAUGUUUUUCAUAUAUGUCACGGUCUAAGCAUGAUCUGUUUCUGUUGUUCUGAUUAAGGAAGCUUGUGUUGGGGAGGAUUCAGUGUCUGUUGAGGCACAUGUGAAUGUGUUAUAAAGUGAAACACAUCCAGACAACUCGACUGUCAAAGACCACACGACAGGACCAUUCUCCUGGAGACGCUGAGAAAGCAUUGAAGGAAUGUCUGUGAAGGAUGUACUCAAAAAAUACACAAGCUUCAGGACACCUGCUGGAGGGGACCCGGCUACACCUUUCCUACCGUACACCUGAUGGAUACUGACUGUAAAAUGGCAAUCACAGGAGGAGGGCUCAGUGUGGUGACAGAAGAUGGAACAGAUGUGUGUCCGUGCACCAGCCUUGAUGAAGCUUCAUAACAGCCUUCUGGAUGUAUUCUGCUUUCAACAUUGCAUAUCCACCACACCUGAGAAAGACACCGACUUUCCUUCAGAGGGACAUUGUCAACAUUAGUAGACGAGACAAGCUCUGUAUGGUUGACUGGAAGUCUGUCAGUCCAGAUGUGAGGAAGACACACAGAGUGGAGCUGGAGCUCAGCAGAUGUGUGAUGCUGUAGAUACUGUGGUCUUGGAAAGAAGGGAUCUUCACAGCUUUCUAUUCAGACAAAGAGUUUGCUGGAUUCUGUUCUAUGGACUGCUACUACAGAAUGAAUGAAUGAAUGAGUGGUUUAUCUAUCUAUCUAUCUAUCUAUCUAUCUAUCUAUCUAUCUAUCUAUCUAUCUAUCUAUCUGUCUUAUCUAUCUAUAUUUUUACUUGAAUUGGUGACUGAAACUGAAAGCUAAAUAAACGGUUUAGUGGAUAAAGCUGUGUCUGUUUGCUUAAUUGGUUAAUGUCGCUUAAAACAAGUUUACUAAACUCUUCUGACUAAUUUUUUUAAUUUAUUAGUUUUUAAUUUUUACUAAUUUUUCUUUAUCAGGCAAAACCUGGUUUUCUAGUGUAACACUUUACAAUAAAGGUUCAUUUGUUGACUAAUGUAUUAACUAACAUUAACUAUGAGCAAUACAUUUGAUACGGUAUUUAUUAAAGUUUGUUAGUUAAUAAACAUACAUCUGUACGUUGUUUGUUCUUGUUAGUUCACUAAUGUUAACAAAUACUGCUGACUUUAAAUGACUUUAAUUUAAGAGCAGCAAGUGCGACUAACCUUGUUUAGAGACGUUUGUAUUCUCAAAAAUAAUUGUAAUCUGUUUUUGAUUAUCGAUAAACUAAGACCUAAAAGUGCGGUGGUGAUUACGUCAGUAAGCCCUUUUGAAGGUACUUUCGAAAGUAAUUUAAAAUAAUAUUAUUUACAUCAUUAACGCAGUUUUUACAUUGGAUGAAUUUCAAUUGGUUUUAUAGGAUUAUGUGUUUAAUCUAUCGCUUUCUAUUAAUCUAUAGGCCAAUAGCGAUUAAGAGUAUGGCUCGCCUUUAGGCGGAACAGCCAGUUUUCGCUAUACAUUUUGCCACGCCUCCUACCUUUCUUUCCACCAAUGAGAAACAUUUCGACACGCCCACCUUUUGCCACGCCCAUUGCUCCAGGCUGCAGUUACCCCUACUUGGAAAGAAGGGGAACAGAUGACAAACAGUAAUGUACACCAUGUUAAAAAUAAUGCUUUUGAACCCUAAACCAUAUAAUAAAAUUUUAUUACACCAAACAAUGUUAUUUAAGCAAGGUCAUGAUGCCUUUGACUGGUUCUUUGAGAAUUGCAAAUUAUUGUCAUGUAAUAUUUAAAACUAUAUUUUAAAUUGUACUUAACCGUUUCAGUUUUAUUUUCCGGGUUUAACUUCUUAAGUCAAAUGUGUGCUUGAUGCAUGAAGGCCAGUAAUGUUCUGGACUGUGAGGGUUAUACAUGCUAUAAUCAUAAAAAGUAGAGCACAAUAAGCUCAGACAGCCCCAGACUUUUUCAAAAUAGACCCAACUCAAAUAACAGUCAGCGCUCUCAUAUUAUUACAAAUAUAUUUUAACUUCAAUUACUUAAAAUCACAAACCCCAUAUAGACCCUGCAGAUUAAAACAUUUAGUAUUUUG